CCUACGGGUGGCAGCAGUAGGGAAUCUUUCACAAUGGGCGAAAGCCUGAUGGAGCCACGCCGCGUGCAGGAUGACUGCCUUCUGGUUUGAAACUGCUUUUAUAAUCGAAAAAUAUUGUGGUAACUUAUGUAUAAGGAUCGUCUAACUUCGUGACAGCAGCCGCGGGCAUACGUAGGAGCCGAGCAUUAUCCGGAGUUACUGGGUGUAAAGAGUUGCGUAUGGGGGAUAAUAAGUAGCUAGUGGAAUCUGGUGGCUCAAACAGUCAGACUAUUAGCUAAACUGGUAACCUAGAGACCGUUAGAGGUAAGUGGAAUUCGUAGUGUAGGGGUGAAAUGCGUAGAUAUUAGAAGGAACACCGAUAGCGUAGGCAGGUUGCUGGGAUGGUUCUGACACUAAGGCACGAAAGCGUAGGGAGCAAACGGGAUUAGAUACCCUAGUAGUC
rnacentral:rRNA from 1 species